CUUUCUUUUCUUUUUGGUACUAAGAGAAUAAAAUUGUGUUUUCAGGUUUGCUAGCGACACAUGUACGGCUGGGACUGUUAGGAGAAAAUAUUCAUUGGUGAUAGUUUGAAAAACCAACUUCUCUUUUGAUAGUUGGAAAUUAAUGUAUGCAUGGUUGUUCGUGAGGAUAUAUCCACUACAACACAACGAGUGCACUGUCAUUAUCUUUUAGCCACUUUCUAUACAGCACACCAUACUGAAUUUUGAAUUGCAAUUUGUGCUGCUAUGGUCUUUGUUUUUAGUAUGGUGUAGAAGGACAGACGAGCUUGUUGAUGGCUUGGUUUUCAUGUUCAUUUGGAUAGGUUUUGAAAGCCAUUGGAGUAGACCCCAUCAAGGGGUUUAUAGAUUUUCAGGUGGUGGAAAAUGCAAAAAUCUAGGCAGAAACGGUGGCAGCCAUGAUACGAUUGGAUAUGAGUGAAUAUAUGGAGCGGCAAAGAAAGUAGUUGGCAAGAUUAAAGUGGAAGGUUAGUUUUCAAUGGUAUAAACCGAAUUUCAUGAUGUUUGGUGCAACCAACUGCACCCUAUGCUACACUUAUUUUCAUUGGUACAGAAAUUGUGAGUAAUAGUCUAUCUUAAAUCAGACGUUAAAAAGUCCUAAGCCAUCUUAGAACAUCUCAGGUUGUGUUUAUGUUUGUAUG